rnacentral:rRNA from 1 species
AGCGAACGCUGGCGGCGUGCCUAACACAUGCAAGUCGAACGUGAAAGGGAGCAAUCCCAAGUAAAGUGGCGUACGGGUGAGUAACACGUAGGUAAUCUACCCCAGAAUCUGGAAUAACCGGCCGAAAGGCUGGCUAAUACUGGAUAGAGCGACGGAAUCCGUAAUUGGGUUUUUCGGGAAAGGGAGCCUGUAAAAAGGCCUUCGUUCUGGGAUGAGCCUGCGUCCCAUCAGCUAGUUGGUGAGGUAAAAGCUUACCAAGGCAAUGACGGGUAGCUGGUCUGAGAGGACGAUCAGCCACACUGGAACGGAAACACGGUCCAGACUCCUACGGGAGGCAGCAGUGGGGAAUCUUGCGCAAUGGACGAAAGUCUGACGCAGCAACGCCGCGUGAGUGAAGAAGGCCUUCGGGUUGUAAAGCUCUGUCGAGUGGGACGAAAAUGCUUGGAGUUCACAGCUCCAGGAACUGACGGUACCACUAAAGGAAGCACCGGCUAACUCCGUG